AUCGCUUCUCAGGCGUUUGGCUAAGAUCAAGUGUACGAUCUGUUCUUAUCAGUUUAAUAUCUGAUACGUCCUCCAUUCAAGGACUUUAUAGUAAACCGAUUUUUAGAGCAGGGAGCUGGAAGAGGGGCUUGCUCCGUCUUCUCCACGCAUCGACAUGCUAAUGCAGUACCUCCGGGAACGGUACACCUUUU